CGCGGAGGCUUGUCGGCGGAGGCAGCGACAGGAGGCUGGAGAGCCGAGUCCCGUGGCUCGCUUACCCGCAGGUGUUGUUCCUUUGAUACAAUGGACGGUGAUUCUGCACUUCUGCCUGAGAAUGGUCCAAAAUGGUGAAGAUUGAGGCUGGACUUCCUGUUUUGUGCCCAGGACAAGAACGAUGAAGAGGCUCAGCAGGGCCAAAAGGUCAGUAGGUUUUUUUCUUUGCUGUGUGAUAGGGCUCUGAGUAGGCUGGGCAACUGUUAGCCAUGAGCAAACCAAACAGAGCCCCAGCCCAGCAUUUUGUGACCUUGGGCGAGGCAUAUGAUGUCAGAUUUUGAAACUCACAGGUGCUUUUAUGCCCAUUUAGUGAUAAGACAGCUGAGGCAGAAUGAAGUGGGCAUGUGGGCAACAUUAUAAGGCUGUGGAAGGCAGCGAGUCAGAUGGAGCAUCCUUCUUGGGUGUUUAUAUCCAUGCUGAUCUCUGCUUCUCUCCACAGCGUCCACAUCCUCAUGGGGAGGAGGGCCUUAAUCUUUUCUGUAUUGUGGACCCUUCCUCAGAAUACUGUCUUUAAGUGCUUACAUUAAAAUACCUAGGAUUACAAACAUGUAUUACUUUGAGCAGUCUCAGGGAUAUUUGUCCUAAGCACCCCUCAUUCCAUUACAUCAAUAGUUAAUUACAGAGUUUUUAAAUACAUAGUGUUGCCAAGGGAACCACAUGGACCCCCGAAUGC